rnacentral:hammerhead_ribozyme from 1 species
AUCCAGCUGAUGAGUCGCGAAUAGGACGAAACGCGCGUCCUGGAU